CAUAAAAACGUUCACUUGCAAUAUAAACCACGAGAUCUGGAGCCAGUGAGCCACCACUUUGUGAGUUAGGCACCCGUCUUUAUUGACAUUAUUGUCGUUUUAGAUGAAUUUCUCCCAAAACUGAUGCUAUAUGCAACUUUCAGAAGAAGAUAAAACACUUCUUAUAUUCCAACCAGCAUAGCGCUUAGUAAUCAUUUUAUGGAUUUAACUAACUGAUUAAUAAUCAUAACCAUAAGCAAGCGAAUAAUAUAAUAUAGAAAAGUGGGUGCUGUGUGGAUGCAACUAAUGUUCAAUUUUGCUAGAAAACCCUAAAAUGAUGAUAAAGCUUUUCUUUAAGACCAAACAAAGUGAUUGGUUCUAAAAGGAAGAAAACAGCUAAGCUUGUAUUUGUAAGACCACCUCCAUCGGUAGGUUGAGAUGGAGGUUCUAAAGUAAUAAAGAGAAAAAAUUAAAUAAAAAAUGGUGUUAUUAAACAGAACCGGUCCUUAAUUAGGUGAGUUUAGGAUCGGUAAAAACCCUAGACGUGGCAGCAGGGUAUUGGUUGGUUCAUUUUAGACGAAAGGGAAAAAGUCAUGUCUCUCUCUCUUUCGUUCUCCUCUUCGAUGUCAUCGACUCUUAGCGUUCGAUUCUGUCGAAAUCUCCAAGGCUUGAUGAUGUUUGAUCUGUUUGUUCGUCGUCGAUUCUGUCGAAAUCUCUCCUCAUCCUCCACCAACGGUCGUCGUCUCUCCGUCGCUUAUCACAUCGUUCCUCAAUGUCUCUCCUUCACCGAUCUCCGUCUCUUGCAGCCUCUCUCUCGCCUCCCGACUCUCCUCCCCAGAAACUCGAUCGUCGUCACGAACAACUAUGUUUCCGGUUUCGCCGUCGACGGCGUUCUCGUCACCGAACCGGAUCUUUUCCUCUCUUCUCAAAUGUGCCUUUGACAAAAUUGUAGUGAGCUCCUCUUAUAGCAAGCGUGUUCUUCACUACUUCAGCUCUCACAAAUGGGUACGAAAGCAAGUUCCCAAGCGACACAUUCACAGCUUCCUGCAUCUUUUAGAAUCAUUCACUCUCUUUGCUUUAUUUGAGUUUUUGUGGAAGAUUUUGCUUUGUUACCAUGGCAUGGACUAAAAGCUGGGACAAAGAAACAGAAAUAUGAUGUAAUAAGUGAGAAGAAAGUAUCAACUCCUAUAGAGGUGCUGUGUAAAAAUUGCCCGUCUGAAUUUGUUUCAUACUUCCACUACCGUCGAUCUUUGAUAUCAGAGAACUUGUUUCUUUGGAAGAUGUAAUGGAGGAGGUCGGGCUUGGUCCUAAUGGUGCCCUCAUGUACUGCAUGGAAUACCUUGAUGAUAGCUUACAUGAUUGGGUGGAUGAAGAAUUGGAUAACUAGCGAGAUGAUGAUUACCUUAUAUUCGAUUGUCCAGGUGCAUACAUGACCAUUACGUUUAUAUGUCUGAUCUUUUUAUACGAGUGGUUUCUGUCACCAGUUUGGUUCCCAAUUAUGUUUUUUUAUCUCUAAAUUUUUGUAAUCAUCUUGCUUUUUUUUUCUAUAUUUCAACGACACUUUCAACCAACAUUUGUUGGUCUUGUUGUUGUUUUGUUCUCUCUCUUUUUGUUUUCAUUGUUUCUCUUUUCUCUUCUUUCUAUGUAUGUUUUUUUUUUAAAUUGUUCUACUUAAAAAAAAAAAUUAUUUAAGAACCUCUACGAGGUUCUAUCUGAGAAAAAAAAAAAUCAUUAGCACUAUCAAAGGUUUUUAAGUUCUCAAAUCACCUUAUUAAGUCAUAAUUUAAUCAUAAGAGCCCAUUAAUGGAUGGAAGACCUAAUAUGUACUGUGGUGGCCCCUUAACCCCAUGUUUUCUUCUUCUUCUUCAUCCAUUAUGUUCUAAUAACACGUACGUAUGAUUACGAAAACUAUUUAUACGUGUCGUAAAGAAUAUGACUUAGUAUCGACUUCGAGAUAAUACUAUGCAUAGAUAAGAACUGUCUGUAUUGGAUACGUGGUACUGUGACCCACUUUGUUGACUUACGAUCAAAAAUUUUAAAUUUGUAUGUAAUCUAAAUAACAAUCAAUAUGUGUAGAUCGCGUGAUGAAAAUGCAUGAACAAAAAUAGUGUGUAUAAAUGUACAUUUCGACCUAAAAACGUGGGACUGAUAAGAUGGGCUACCAAACCUAUUUUGUACAUUAUGAGGACAACGCAAUCCUUCACGAUCUUUUGCUACUUGCAAUUACGUCUUGAUUUUUUCAAUUACACGUGCAUACAUUCAUUCGUAUUUCAGUUGACAUCAAAUGCUCCAAUUCAUAUGUUCCAUCAAUCUCGGAUAAUCAUGCAGGAGAUUUUUGAAAUUUUCCCCAUUCGAAAUUAGAUAUAAGAAUGCAAAACCUUUGGAUUCGACGUAACUCUUGAGAUGUUAUUGAAAAAAACUAGUCGCAUAACCAAGCGCUUGUGGUUCCCGAUUUCUAAUAGACGCAUUUGUUAGGAAUUCAACAUAUGACCUAAAAUGAAACUUAAGAGUAAUACUUAAUACAGUAACAUAAAUAUGAUAAUAAUUAAGAAUCAAUAAUUGCUUAUUUAUUUUUUUAGUUAGAAGUACUUUGUCACAUAUUAAUGUUUGAAUUUGAGCGAAAUCGAAUAAUCCAGAUAAGAUAUAUUAUUGUGUCUAACGUUUGGUUCAGUUUAAGAUGAACUGAAAAUGUCAUCAUAUUGAGAGGCGCAGUAAAAUCAACCCAGAGGAAAAUAAAUCUGAACUAUAUACAUCUAGUAAGUAACUAGAAUAAUCAAAAUGAUUAAAUUUCUUUCUACAAGGCAUUACAAAGUAAGAUUGCAAUUCGUUAAUUACAAAAGCCAAAGUGGUUAGUGGAGUAAUGAUGGUUAUGAUUUAUGAUAAGGAUACAGAUUUAAUUAAUGAAAUAAAGCAAAGAGAGUUUGUGUCUCAACAACCCAACCCUCAUUCCCAGCUUCCAUUAGUAUUAGUGAUGUGUAAUCUUUGACUACUCAGCGGUCAAUCUUAUGUUUUAAUUGGGAUAAGGAAUCUUAGGUUUCAUUAUUCAUGUAAUAUCAAAUAAUGAAGCGUGAGUUUAGAAAAUUAAAUAAAUUGCUUAAUGGAUAUAGUGUAUAAAUUUUAAAAAGAAUAUAUCAAAUGAUCCAUAACUUCAGACUUGAAACUUUCUUUUAAACAUAUGAAGUUGAAAAAUAACAUAUUGUCGCCUGUACUGCUGUACUAUAGGAUGUACUUAAUUAACCUUGGUAGAUACUCAACAAUUUAUCGUCUAGUCUAAUUAGGCACUCUGCUAUUAAAUAAUUAAUGUCCCAAUCAAAAUAACAUACUCCCUCUGUUCCUAAAUAUAAGAUGUUUAGGUAAAAACAUGCAUAUUAAAAAAAUCAUUGUUUUAUCUAGAAAAUAUCAUUAAAACUAUAAAUUAAUGUUA